GCCAGUAUGGCAUAGUGGUUUGAGGGUUGGACUAUAACUCUGAAGACCAGGGUUCGAAUCCCUGCUUGGCCA
rnacentral:tRNA from 1 species